CAGUAAAUAGUUUAAUAAAAAAUUUUAAUUUUGGAGAUUAAUAAUAAGCUUUGCUUUUUACUGA
rnacentral:tRNA from 1 species